GAUGAAGAACGCAGCAAAAUGCGAUAAGUAAUGUGAAUUGCAGAAUUCAGUGAAUCAUCGAAUCUUUGAACGCACAUUGCGCCCGCCAGUAUUCUGGCGGGCAUGCCUGUUCGAGCGUCAUUUCAACCCUCAAGCCCAGCUUGGUGUUGGGAGCUGCAGUCCUGCUGCACUCCCCAAAUACAUUGGCGGUCACGUCGAGCUUCCAUAGCGUAGUAAUUUACACAUCGUUACUGGUAAUCGUCGCGGCCACGCCGUUAAACCCCAACUUCUGAAUGUUGACCUCGGAUCAGGUAGGAAUACCCGCUGAACUUAAGCAUAUCAAUAAGCGGAGGA
rnacentral:ncRNA from 2 species